UCUCUCUUUACUGUUUUCUGGCUGGAAUUGAAUUCUGGGUUGAUUGGUCUGGAUUUUAUUGCUGUUUUUUUCUCUGAAUUACUGGGUUAGCAAUUGUUUGAAGCAGGAAGAUCUUAUCAGUUUUGCCUAAUGAUAAAAGCAGUUUAUAUGAGUUCUGUUUCAAUCAUUUCAGGACCACAAGAGUACAAUAAAAGCAAUUUACACGGGUUCUGAAUUUCUGGAGAGUGUUUUUGCUGGUGUUGAAGUUGGCUCGAUGCUUAUUUGUUUCGUCGAUUUCAGUUAUUCAGGAUUCACUCCACGAACAUAAACAACGGGUGGACUUGCCAAAAAGUACUUUUCCUUCGGAUAAAGAGAGAAGACAUUUCUACCUUAGGUUAAAGAGAGAGAGAGAGAAGACAUUUCUGUAGAGCAUCAGGUUUAAUCCUUAAUGGGCUUAUAUGCUUAUAGAGAUUGAAUGAUCUUAUUUGUUUGUUAUUCUGUUUAAAUCAAACUUGAACUAAAUUUAUUGUUUGUAUUGGUAUUA